GACGAACGCUAGCGGCGUGCUUAACACAUGCGAGUCGAACGGAAAGGCCCUGCUUUUGUGGGGUGCUCGAGUGGCGAACGGGUGAGUAACACGUGAGUAACCUGCCCUUGACUUUGGGAUAACUUCAGGAAACUGGGGCUAAUACCGGAUAGGAGCUCCUGCUGCAUGGUGGGGGUUGGAAAGUUUCGGCGGUUGGGGAUGGACUCGCGGCUUAUCAGCUUGUUGGUGGGGUAGUGGCUUACCAAGGCUUUGACGGGUAGCCGGCCUGAGAGGGUGACCGGCCACAUUGGGACUGAGAUACGGCCCAGACUCCUACGGGAGGCAGCAGUGGGGAAUAUUGCACAAUGGGCGGAAGCCUGAUGCAGCAACGCCGCGUGCGGGAUGACGGCCUUCGGGUUGUAAACCGCUUUCGCCUGUGACGAAGCGUGAGUGACGGUAAUGGGUAAAGAAGCACCGGCUAACUACGUG
rnacentral:rRNA from 1 species